rnacentral:rRNA from 1 species
UACGUAGGGGGCUAGCGUUGUCCGGAAUCAUUGGGCGUAAAGCGCGUGUAGGCGGCCCGGUAAGUCCGCUGUGAAAGUCGGGGGCUCAACCCUCGGAUGCCGGUGGAUACUGUCGGGCUCGAGUGCGGAAGAGGCGAGUGGAAUCCUGGUGUAGCGGUGAAAUGCGCAGAUAUCAGGAAGAACACCCGUGGCGAAGGCGGUUCUCUGGGACGGUACUGACGCUGAGACGCGAAAGCGUGGGGAGCGAACAGG